UACGGAGGGUGCAAACGUUGCUCGGAAUCAUUGGGCGUAAAGCGCACGUAGGCGGGCCGCUAAGUCGGAUGUGAAAGCCCUCGGCUUAACCGAGGAAGUGCAUUCGAAACUGACGGUCUUGAGUAUGGAAGAGGGUCGCGGAAUUCCCGGUGUAGAGGUGAAAUUCGUAGAUAUCUGGAGGAACACCAGUGGCGAAGGCGGCGACCUGGGCCAAUACUGACGCUGAGGUGCGAAAGCGUGGGGAGCAAACAGG
rnacentral:rRNA from 1 species